rnacentral:lncRNA from 1 species
GGCAACAGAAAACCAGGUGCUCUGCAGGGUGCAGCUUUAUACAACCGCAGUGGUCGAACCAUGAACAAAUUUUGUCACAAGAUUCAAUUUGAUACGUCUGAAUUUAGAUUGUGAUAAAGUUUUUGACAUAAUAUAGGUUUUUGUCACAAUAUAAAUGUGGUCAAAGUUCUUACAAAUCUAUUGCACAAUACUGUGCAAUUGGAAUUUUCUUUAAACUUUUGAAAACAAGCAGUGAAAGGGAGGUAAUCAAGUAAUCAAACAUAUAUAUAACAGUAUUCUUUAAAUUUUAAUUGCAUUACCUCCCUUACA